rnacentral:tRNA from 1 species
GGGGAUUUAGCUCAGUGGUAGGGCGCUUGCCUAGCAAGUGCUCAAGGCCCUGGGUUCGAUCCCCAGCUCCU